AUAAGUUUGUGAUUGCGAUCCCAGAGUGUCAUCUGGCUGUGAUAAUAUUGGUAGGUGUUUAUGCAUCCCUAGACUCAACAAUGAAGUUUUGUCUCCAAAUGACACCAUAUGUUCCGAGCAACAAUUUUGUGAUACAGACAAACGAUGCAAAUGUAAAGAUUGGAAACAUGGAUUAGAUUGUGAACUAGAGACCUCUUGUAAUAGAAAUAAUUCGGAAUCUUGGCAUCACGAUGGAGGUUGUCACUGUAAGGUGGGCUAUUAUGGUGUAAUUUGCGAAUUAGUAUGUCCCACUGACUGUCAAAAUUCUUUUUCGAACAAUAGCUGCAAAUAUUAUAGAGGGGUGUGCGAUUGUAUUGAAAACUACUAUGGGGACAAAUGCCAACACAGGUGUUACUGUCAGAAGAAUCAGUUCUGCGAUUGGAAAGGGAUAUGCAGAAUUUCCGCAACAGUAUAUAUAUAAAUUAUUACGUGUAUUUGGUGGAAGAAGAACCAAGCGACGAAAUCAUAUUAGAUCAAAAUAUUUUUGGGGAAAAUCUUAUUAAUUUAAUUUUAAAGCAUUCAAGAAAUUUGUUCAAAACACGUAUUUUUUUAGUGAAUUAAUUAAUAUCGGGCCAUUUUUAUUAAUCAUGAUUUGUUUGUUUAAACCUUUGAGAAAAAUAUAAUCCAAAAUAAAUUUAAAAUAUUAGCGGGCAACCGUAGUGAUUCUAAGCAAGUAGCAGCACUAGGACCUUUUAAGAAGGGGAUUCAGUCGUGUAGGGAAUGGGGAAGAUUGGAAUCUAGAUAGGACCUAACACC